GACGAACGCUGGCGGCGUGCUUAACACAUGCAAGUCGAACGGAAAGGCCCUGCUUUUGUGGGGUGCUCGAGUGGCGAACGGGUGAGUAACACGUGAGUAACCUGCCCUUGACUUUGGGAUAACUUCAGGAAACUGGGGCUAAUACCGGAUAGGAGCUCCUGCUGCAUGGUGGGGGUUGGAAAGUUUCGGCGGUUGGGGAUGGACUCGCGGCUUAUCAGCUUGUUGGUGGGGUAGUGGCUUACCAAGGCUUUGACGGGUAGCCGGCCUGAGAGGGUGACCGGCCACAUGGGGCCUAAGGUACGGCCCAGACUCCUACGGGAGGCAGCAGGGGGGAAUAUUGCACAAUGGGGGGAAGCCUGAUGCAGCAACGCCGGGUGCGGGAUGACGGCCUUCGGGUUGUAAACCGGUUUGGCCUGUGACGAAGCGUGAGUGACGGUAAUGGGUAAAGAAGCACCGGCUAACUACGUG
rnacentral:rRNA from 1 species